rnacentral:rRNA from 1 species
CCUACGGGAGGCAGCAGUGGGGAAUAUUGCGCAAUGGGCGAAAGCCUGACGCAGCGACGCCGCGUGAGGGAUGAAGGUCUUCGGAUCGUACACCUCUGUCAGCAGGGAAGAACGGUCACUGUGCUAAUCAGCAGUGAAUUGACGGUACCUUCAAAGGAAGCACCGGCUAACUCCGUGCCAGCAGCCGCGGUAAUACGGAGGGUGCGAGCGUUAAUCGGAAUUACUGGGCGUAAAGCGCUCGUAGGCGGUAUGUCAAGUCAAGGGUGAAAUCCCCGCGCUCAACGUGGGAACUGCCUGUGAAAUGGGCAAACUGGAGUGUGUGAGAGGAUAGUGGAAUUGCAGGUGUAGGAGUGAAAUCCGUAGAUAUCUGGAGGAACAUCAGUGGCGAAGGCGACUAUCUGGCACAUAACUGACGCUGAGGAGCGAAAGCGUGGGUAGCAAACAGGAUUAGAUACCCCUGUAGUC